GUGGAAAAAAGUGCAGAGAAAGAGGCGGCUGCAGGAAGUCUCAGCAGGGCAAGGAGACCAAAAACAAAAUGGACACCGGGCUGCAACAAACAGAUCAUUAUGUGUAUUAGAGAUGCACUUCUCACAGACCACAAUGAAAACACAGAAGAAUCACAGAUGGUACCUCUACAAGUAAAACAUCUUCUCCCAGUUAAAUUAGAAGGCAGUGUGGACUACAAGAUACACCACUGGCAUGGCACUUAUGAGACCUGGGUUCUGUUCCUGGCCCUGCCACUGGCUCCAUUGAUUGUUGGCAUCUCAGAGAAGCCCAUUUAUGCAGGAAGUAAAACAGAUUUAAUGAACGGUGGAAAAUACAUGAUAUUUCAACAAUGACCACAAUAAUAAUGAUGUACAGAUAAUAGCUGGCUAUGUACCUGUAACUGAAUUGCUUCAAAUUUAUCUCCUCUUUAGACAUUUUCCCCACUCAGCAGUAGUAACAGAACAAAAGAGCUGUAUAUCCUACAAAUUUGCUAAUAAAAAAUAACAUUGCCUGCUAACAUUGC